rnacentral:rRNA from 1 species
UACGUAGGGGGCAAGCGUUGUCCGGAAUCAUUGGGCGUAAAGAGCGCGUAGGCGGUCCGGUAAGUCCGCUCUGAAAGUCCGGGGCUCAACCCCGGGAGGCGGGCGGAUACUGUCGGGCUAGAGUCCGGAAGAGGCGAGUGGAAUUCCUGGUGUAGCGGUGGAAUGCGCAGAUAUCAGGAGGAACACCAAUAGCGAAGGCAGCUCGCUGGGACGUUACUGACACUGAGGCGCGAAAGCGUGGGGAGCGAACAGG